CAUGAUUAGCCUAGCUAGGAUUGUUUAGAGGGUAGUCGCAGUCGCCCCAACUCCGACUUGCAAAAAUUUUGUUUUGUAAGUAGGGUGAGAAACAACUUUUGUUGGAAACUUUAAUCUUUUUAAGAGAUUGGAGAACUGU
rnacentral:sRNA from 12 species